GGAAUGGUCUUCACCUUGAUUUUCAUAGAUGCUGAAGUUAAUUUUGAGGGUGAAGAUUAUAGAGUUCUUGGACACACUGAUUAUUACACCAAGCAUUCACUCUACCGCAUGGGAUAUAUAAAGGUGGAUGACCAUUGGGUGCAUGAAGGUGAUGAUGAUCAGGGAGCACAUUAGAUUAAGGGGACACCCUCACACUCAUCCAGAUCACCUUCUUUCUCUCCAUCUGCAGUAGCUGAUCCAUCCUCACCAACACCAACAGCAAGACCUUCUUCACCAGCACCAGCAUCGACACCUACAUUAGCGUAGUGGAGCACUUCUCUGGAGCACCUAUCUCUCCUCGCACCCC
rnacentral:lncRNA from 1 species